ACAAAGCCCACCCCUGCACCCCACGUUCUCCUCGAUUCCCAGCCGCUCCCAUCCCCGUCGUCGUGCGCCUCCCAGCGCGCCGCCACCGACCCGCACCUCCUCUCCUCCUAGCGUGCCACCACCGGCCCAUACCUCUCCCCUCCCAGCGUGCCGCCGCCGAACCGCACCUCCUCCCCUCCGAACGCGCCACCGCUGAACCACACCUCCCCCUCCCAGCGCGCUGCCUCCGGCCCGCACCUGCCCCCGGUCCUCCGGUGAUGCACCGGCUGUCCCCACCCUGAACCCCGCCUCUCCCGUCGCGCCGCCACGCAACCCCUGGAUCCGGCCGACGUCCCGCCUCCUGCCCCCGGAUCCGUCCAAGACAGAUCCCACCGCCGCCUGCCACCACCAAGAACCGGCACGCUACCAAGCGCCGGCACGCGACCCCGCCGCCGACCUCAGGUACGCCACCGCGCCUCCCCUGCCACCUAGGUUGCCCCCAGCCUCGCCCAGCUCCUCUUCCAACGAUGACCCCCUGCCACACGCGCCUCUUCGUUGCUCUGUCCCGGCCACGCGUGCCACCCCGUCCUGCCUCCGGCGACGCAAACCACCUCCGCCCGCGGGCGCCGCCGCACGAACCCCGCGCGUGUCAUGUACGCCAGCUCCACCCGAAUCGCCGCCGCAGCCUCCCUCCACACAAACCAUGCACCGCCGCCACCUUGGGCCGUUCAACAACACAUCCCAAGGAUGUUCACCACCGCAUCACCCUGAUCCCCACUGCCACAAAAUGCUCCGAUGAGGCCCAGAUCGUUCCUCCCCGUGGUUCAUAGUAUGGGUUGCAUCCUAUGACAUGAGCUAUGGAAAGGAGCGAGCAGGACACAAUAAAGAUGAUGUCCUGACUUCAUUUUUGGGACGGUUCGAAAUGUGUUUGGGUCAAUUUCUUCUGUGUUUUCUCAGUCACUAUAUUGUUCUUGCUCAUUUUGUUGAAAGAUGGUCUUGUGUUCUGUGAAGAUGUGAACAAAAAUAUGUAUUCACAACAAAGAACACGAAGAUGUUGUGGUGAUGUAAAGUCCGGCCUAGCAUCUGUAGUUUUCCAGAUUGCUAUGAAUAUUUUGGUAAUCUUAACUGUGGCUUUGAUGCAAUUUAUUUCUGUAGAUGUAUAAAACCUGUCAAUUCAUGGUGAACAAAAACAUGUUGCUGCAUGUGGAGUGUUCCUGACUUGAGCGUGUAUUUUCUUUUGAUUUAUGUGGCAUUAUAUAUGAGGUACUGUGGUACUGAGGUUUGGUUGGAAAUGAGUGAGGGAGUUAAUUUGUUUGAGCCUUGGACUUGUUGCUGCUUAUUUUUAGUAGCAUCAUGGUACCAGCAUUUCGUACAUUGAUGUUUCCUCUCUACUAGGCGGUGUGAUGUUUUAGGAACAAGCUUUGUUGCUAAACACAACAAAAAUUGUAGGUACAAUGACUCAAUUGCAGCCCACUCUUUUUGCACCUGUAGUUUUGUUGGUUUUGCACCUAGAUGUUAUUAUGCUACAAUUUUUUCAGAAGUUCAAAGAUGACAAUUAUAGAAAUUCGAUGAAUGCUCUGUUGUGCUUGUACUACUAUGCUAAAAAUUUGCUUUAACUUUUUGUGAAGGUCAAAAUAUUGUGUUCGAGAAGGUCAAGUGUGUUAUGUGUAUCCCAGCAAGUUCAAAUAAUUUAAACAUGCAAAAUGUUGUGUUCGAGAAGGUCAAGUGUGUCAUGUGCAUCACCUCGCCCCCACUGAAUCUUCUGCAUUUUUUGUGUAUUCUUCAGAAGUUCAGGUCAUCAUAAGUUUCGUCUAUUGAGCUACUCUUAUGAAAAAGUUCACCACAGAGGCAGGUCUAUGCAUGCAAACCGGGGAGGACGACGAACCAUGCCUGGUGCCGCUACCCUCGUGAAUAGAUGGAGGAAGAAGGUCACCAGAGGCAGGGAGAUGGUCACAUAAGGUGCGGGAAGAUUGUCAGAGUUCAGGAACGGGGUGUGUGUAAUCUUUGUGUUGUUUUUGGGGUGCAAAUUAACAUGGAUAUGCGAUCUCACAUCCUGUGUAUUCUUGAGAUGGCCUCCCUUAGCCUCAAAACCAUAUUGCAUAUAAAUAUGAUAGUCCCAAUGCUACGGUCACGUGUAAAGAAAAUUAUAUAUAUGCCACUACCGAUUUUUUUCUUCAGGUGGUCUUCAUCACCGUU